rnacentral:tRNA from 1 species
GGGCACGUAGUUCAGUUUGGUAGAACGCCCGGACCGAGUCCGGAUUACUGGGGAUGUGAGUCCGCGCGGCACAUCUCGCGCCCGUUGUGCAGUGAUCUGGCUUUUCGGCGAGGCCCUGGGUUCGAAUCCCAGCGUGUCCA